rnacentral:rRNA from 1 species
AUUGAACGCUGGCGGCAGGCCUAACACAUGCAAGUCGAACGAGUGGCGGACGGGUGAGUAAUGUCUGGGCAACUGCCUGAUGGAGGGGGAUAACUACUGGAAACGGUAGCUAAUACCGCAUACCAUCAGAUUUGCCCAGAUGGGAUUAGCUAGUUGGUGGGGUAACGGCUCACCAAGGCGACGAUCCCUCGCUGGUCUGAGAGGAUGACCAGCCACACUGGAACUGAGAACCGGUCAAGCCGCCUACGGGAGGCAGAAGUGGGGAAUAUUGCAAAAUGGGGGCAAGCCUGAUGAAGAAAUGCCGCGUGUAGGAAGAAGGCCUUCGGGUGGUAAAGUACUUUCAGCGGGGAGGCGUUACCCGAAGAAGAAGCACCGGCUAACUCCGUGCCAGCAGCCGCGGUAAUUC